rnacentral:misc_RNA from 1 species
UUAAGUUCAGCGGGUAGUCCUACUCGAUUUGAGGUCAAGUUGUCAGAUAUUUGUCGCAAGGACAGUUGGAAGCACAGAGCUCCCAGUUGGACCCCAUAAAGGUGCCAGCGAAGAUGCUUAUCACGCUGUACUAAUCCAACCAUGAGAUGCACUAACCCAUUUCAGAUGAGCCACAACUAAGCAGCAACAUCCAAGUCCAC